AUUGAACGCUGGCGGCAGGCCUAACACAUGCAAGUCGAACGAGUGGCGGACGGGUGAGUAAUGUCUGGGGAACUGCCUGAUGGAGGGGGAUAACUACUGGAAACGGUAGCUAAUACCGCAUACCAUCAGAUGUGCCCAGAUGGGAUUAGCUAGUAGGUGUGGUAACGGCUCACCUAGGCGACGAUCCCUAGCUGGUCUGAGAGGAUGAUCAGCCACACUGGAACUGAGACACGGUCCAGACUCCUACGGGAGGCAGCAGUGGGGAAUAUUGCACAAUGGGCGCAAGCCUGAUGCAGCCAUGCCGCGUGUAUGAAGAAGGCCUUCGGGUUGUAAAGUACUUUCAGUGGGGAGGCGUUACCCGCAGAAGAAGCACCGGCUAACUCCGUGCCAGCAGCCGCGGUAAUUC
rnacentral:rRNA from 1 species